CCAAGUGUUUAAACUGACAGUAACUUACUUCUCUUCUACAAAAUUUGGGAGGAUAGUGUGAGUUUAUGGAAAACAAAAUUAUUCUUAAGAAUGACUGAGUGAGUUUAG